AGAGAGUGUCACGAAGAAGGGAACUGCUGUCAUCAUGAUUAGCUUGGAAUGGAAUUUGUAUUUUGACAAAAGAUGCAGAUAUUUUAAGACCCGGAAUGCUCACAAAAAGGACAAGAGCUCAGAGCUGUAUGGAAAUUUACACAAAGGGUCAGUUAACAGAUUUUGCAAAUAUGGAGGAUAAUAUAUCAAAGGCAGCAUAGGCGUCCAAACUCCUGUUCAGGGUGCUUUUAAUCAGAAGCUUAAGAGACAAAAGACGACCCAUUGACAAGGCAAAACUGAAUGUUUUAUAUGAAAUUGAGCAAGAAAAGUUUGAAGUGUGGGAAUGAUCAACAUCAAACUUG